AGAGUUUGAUCCUGGCUCAGAACGAACGCUGGCGGUGCGUCUUAAGCAUGCAAGUCGGGCGGCAAGAGCAGCAAUGCUCCUAGAGCGGCGGACUGAUGAGUAACACGUGGGUGAUGUACCCUUAGGUUGGGGAUAGCUGAUAGAAAUAUCAGAUAAUACCGGAUAAGCUCUGUAGAGUCAGAGACUACAGAGGAAAGGAGCUACGGCUUCGCCUGAGGAACAGCCUGCGGCCCAUCAGCUAGUUGGCGGGGUAAAAGCCCACCAAGGCAAUGACGGGUAUCCGGCCUUAGAGGGUAAUCGGACACAUUGGGACUGAGAUACGGCCCAGACUCCUACGGGAGGCAGCAGCUAAGAAUAUUCCGCAAUGGGGGAAACCCUGACGGAGCGACACCGCGUGGACGAUGGAGGCCGAAAGGUUGUAAAGUCCUUUUGAGAAUGAGGAAUAAGUCCUGGAGGGAGUGCCAGGAUGGUGACUGUAGUUUUUGAAUGAGCACCGGCUAAUUACGUGCCAGCAGCCGCGGUAACACGUAAGGUGCGAGCGUUGUUCGGAAUUAUUGGGCGUAAAGGGCAUGUAGGCGGUCAGGCAAGUCUGGUGUGAAAUCCCGGAGCUUAACUCCGGAACUGCAUUGGAAACUACUUGACUUGAAUCACUGAGGGGGAGCCGGAAUUCCUAGUGUAGGGGUGAAAUCUGUAGAUAUUAGGAAGAACACCAAUGGCGAAGGCAGGCUUCUAGCAGAUGAUUGACGCUGAGGUGCGAAGGUGCGGGGAGCAAACAGGAUUAGAUACCCUGGUAGUCCGCACAGU
rnacentral:rRNA from 1 species